AGCGAACGCUGGCGGCGUGCCUAACACAUGCAAGUCGAGCGCGGGCAUUUCGGGGGUAACCCCGGGAUGUGCUGAGCGGCGGACGAGUGAGUAAUACGUGGACAACCUGCCUUAAAGCUUGGGAUAACUCCGGGAAACUGGAGCUAAUACCGGAUAAGACCACGGUGUCUAUGGAUGCUGAGGUAAAAGGCGGCCAGGAGACUGGCUGUUGCUUAAAGAUGGGUCCACGUCCCANCAGGUAGUUGGUGAGGUAAAGGCUCACCAAGCCAAAGACGGGUAGCUGGCCUUAGCGGGUGGUCAGCC
rnacentral:rRNA from 1 species